UGUUUCACAACAAACCGUAUACAUGUUCUCACACCGAAAGAAAUACGCAACCCGCAUUCUGGACAGUUAAGCUGGAUCGAGAGUACAGCGUCUACAGGUUCAGGAUAUAUAACAGGAAUGAUGUGGACUGUCCAUUGUGUUAUCGCCGACUUAACGGCUUUACCCUAUCCGUGGGUAGCUCCUCCCAGAAUUACAAGGACUGUUACCACGACACCACCACAGCCCAAUCAGGUCCCGGGAACAUCAUUACCAAAGCUUGUGUAAAUGGUCCUAUAUUUGGAGACACUGUGAAGAUUAUGAUAACUAAUUCCGAACCACUUACUCUCUGUGAAGUACAGAUUUUCGUGUGUACCCCUGGGACGUAUGGACAAGAGUGUGAGAACAGAUGUGGGAACUGUGCCGAGGGACCCUCUGUCUGUAACACAAUAUCCGGGCACUGUCCGCAAAGAACACCCAGGUGCAUGCCGGGAUACUCCGGUCUGAAAUGUG